CGUUGAGGCGGUUCUGUAAGUUGGACGUGAAAGCCCCUGGCCUAACUGGGGGAGGCCGUUCAAUACUGCAGGACUUGAGGGCAGCAGAGGGAGGUGGAAUUCCCGGUGUAGUGGUGAAAUGCGUAGAUAUCGGGAGGAACACCAGUGGCGAAGGCGGCCUCCUGGGCUGCUCCUGACGCUGAAGGCGAAAGCUAGGGGAGCGAACGG
rnacentral:rRNA from 1 species